rnacentral:rRNA from 1 species
UCCAGACUCCUACGGGAGGCAGCAGUGGGGAAUAUUGCACAAUGGGGGGAACCCUGAUGCAGCGACGCCGCGUGGGUGAAGGAGCACCUCGGUGCGUAAAGCCCUAUCGGCAGGGAAGAAAAGCGAACAGGUUCGCCUGGACGGUACCUGACUAAGAAGCCCCGGCUAACUACGUGCCAGCAGCCGCGGUAAUACGUAGGUGGCGAGCGUUGUCCGGAAUUACUGGGUGUAAAGGGAGCGUAGGCGGGAGAGCAAGUCGACUGUGAAGUCUAUGGGCUUAACCCAUAGCUGCGAUCGAAACUGUUCAUCUUGAGUGAAGUAGAGGCAGGCGGAAUUCCUAGUGUAGCGGUGAAAUGCGUAAAUAUUAGGAGGAACACCAGUGGCGAAGGCGGCCUGCUGGGCUUUAACUGACGCUGAGGCUCGAAAGCGUGGGUAGCAAACAGGAUUAGAUACCCGGGUAUA